UGUGCCCCCAUAGUCGGUUCCGCGGGUUCGAAGCCGGAGGCCGAGGGGGCAGUGGGGGCGGGGAGGGAGGCGACGCGCCCCCACCCCUGUUCGCGUACGCGCUCGCCGCGCCAUCUGCGCGCUCGAGGAGAGCGCGAUUAUCCGCGUGACUCAUCCAGCCCGCCCCCCUCACGUACGCGCGCCGGGCCGGGCCAGCCUCGCGCGGGGCCUCGCAGGGCCUCCGCGGGCGGGGGCGGGCACGGGCACGGGCACGGGGACGUGGAGGAGGCGAGCGCGCGGCGCUGGGCGGCCGGCCGCGAUGGGGACCGGAGCUCUGGCUGCUGAGAUCUAAGGCUGCGCGGAGGGCAGUGAAAAGGCCCAGGCGUUAUUUGGGGGCGGGGGGAAGGGGACAGUGAGGCGCGGAGACACCUUUCAACCGGCAUCUCAAAGCGCGUUACGAGCUGCGCACUCUCCUUCCCACUUUAUGGAUGAGAAAACUGAGUCAUAAAGAGGUGAAAUGGCGAGGUUGGGGUCAAACGACAGCCCGCGCCCGACUAGCACACUGGAGGAGACUUGGCUGCAGAGUGGCCAGGUGCCAAGAAACGCAGCGACGCGGUGCGACCCUCCUUUCCAAAAAAAACGAUGACCGUAACCAGCACAGUGAAAAGACGCUACUGCGCAGAUGAACUGGAAGGCCACCGUUAUUACGUCAUAUAAUCAAGACAAGACUGAAUCGCAAUGAAAAAAGUUUCCAGACAGCCUUCUGAAGGAUAAAAGCCAGUGCCUCUUGGUGUGGGGCAACUAUCUGGUUAUUCCUCUGAUUGCAUCAUAAAGGGGAAUCUCUCUCUUCACCCCAAAGGUAAGGAACUUGGAACUGCCGUCUCAUCUCCUUUCAAAGCAGGUGCCUGGUGUGACAACCAGGCUAUGACUCUCCCUGUCUUCAGAACAGGUUAGCAGCGUCACACAAGCUGCCGCCGGUUUUUCCUUCUCGAAAGUCUGUGGGAAGCCAGAGGAUGAGCACAAGGAUGCCUCGUGGAACCCAAGCGGGUCAGUUAUACGCCUG